rnacentral:tRNA from 1 species
GCCCCCGUUGUGUAGCGGCCUAGCACACCGCCCUCUCACGGCGGCAGCGCCGGUUCGAAUCCGGUCGGGGGUA